UGAGGUCAGUUAUUCUCAAAAGAAUUUCUGAUUUUGAAGUAUGGAGGCGAAAAUUUCUUUGCAAAAAGCUAACUUGCAAUUCAAAGCAGCAUCAGAAUUUGGCCCGAAGAGUUUUUGCGGCACCUGAUUGAUAUUUUUCAUUCUACCCAAAGCGAGCUGUGUAAAUCUGGAUCCUCGGACAACCUGGGUACCAAAUUGUAUACCUGUUUACAUCUACUGAACAGAGCACCACUACCCAACGAAGCACCUAGUAACUCGGUCGGAGCUACCUAUGUACUACGGCUGUAUCGAAUUUGAGCACCGUGUCAUCGAUUUAAUAUAAUAAAACACUUUUCUUUAAAUAGUUGAACCCUUUUUGAAUUGAAUAAACCUUAUGAAAUUUGAAA